UACGAAGGGGGCUAGCGUUGUUCGGAAUUACUGGGCGUAAAGCGCACGCAGGCGGCUCGAUAAAUUAGAAGUGAAAGCCCCGGGCUUAACCUGGGAAUUGCUUUUAAGACUGUCGGGCUAGAAUCCAGAAGAGGGUAGUGGAAUUCCGAGUGUAGAGGUGAAAUUCGUAGAUAUUGGGAAGAACACCGGUGGCGAAGGCGGCUCUCUGGACCGUAACUGACGCUGAGGCGCGAAAGCGUGGGGAGCAAACAGG
rnacentral:rRNA from 1 species